UCCCUGGAUUUGCUUGUGUAUUUAGGUA
rnacentral:piRNA from 1 species